rnacentral:rRNA from 1 species
AGAGUUUGAUCCUGGCUCAGAUUGAACGCUGGCGGCAUGCUUUACACAUGCAAGUCGAACGGCAGCGGGGGCUUCGGCCUGCCGGCGAGUGGCGAACGGGUGAGUAAUGCAUCGGAACGUGCCCAUGUCGUGGGGGAUAACGUAGCGAAAGCUACGCUAAUACCGCAUACGUCCUGAGGGAGAAAGCGGGGGAUUCUUCGGAACCUCGCGCGAUUGGAGCGGCCGAUGUCGGAUUAGCUAGUAGGUGAGGUAAAGGCUCACCUAGGCGACGAUCCGUAGCGGGUCUGAGAGGAUGAUCCGCCACACUGGGACUGAGACACGGCCCAGACUCCUACGGGAGGCAGCAGUGGGGAAUUUUGGACAAUGGGCGCAAGCCUGAUCCAGCCAUGCCGCGUGAGUGAAGAAGGCCUUCGGGUUGUAAAGCUCUUUCGGCCGGGAAGAAAUCGUGUUCUCUAACAUAGGACAUGGAUGACGGUACCGGACUAAGAAGCACCGGCUAACUACGUGCCAGCAGCCGCGGUAAUACGUAGGGUGCGAGCGUUAAUCGGAAUUACUGGGCGUAAAGCGUGCGCAGGCGGUUUUGUAAGACAGAUGUGAAAUCCCCGGGCUUAACCUGGGAACUGCGUUUGUGACUGCAAGGCUAGAGUACGGCAGAGGGGGGUGGAAUUCCUGGUGUAGCAGUGAAAUGCGUAGAGAUCAGGAGGAACACCGAUGGCGA